rnacentral:rRNA from 1 species
GACGAACGCUGGCGGCGUACCUAAUACAUGCAAGUGGGACGCAAGGAAACACACUGUGCUUGCACACCGUGUUUUCUUGAGUCGCGAACGGGUGAGUAACGCGUAGGUAACCUGCCUAUUAGCGGGGGAUAACUAUUGGAAACGAUAGCUAAUACCGCAUAAUAUUAAUUAUUGCAUGAUAAUUGAUUGAAAGAUGCAAGCGCAUCACUAGUAGAUGGACCUGCGUUGUAUUAGCUAGUUGGUAAGGUAAGAGCUUACCAAGGCGACGAUACAUAGCCGACCUGAGAGGGUGAUCGGCCACACUGGGACUGAGACACGGCCCAGACUCCUACGGGAGGCAGCAGUAGGGAAUCUUCGGCAAUGGACGAAAGUCUGACCGAGCAACGCCGCGUGAGUGAAGAAGGUUUUCGGAUCGUAAAGCUCUGUUGUAAGUCAAGAACGUGUGUGAGAGUGGAAAGUUCACACAGUGACGGUAGCUUACCAGAAAGAGACGGCUAACUACGUG